ensembl:lncRNA
ACAUUGAUGUGUAAACACUCGUGGUGCUGAAGUGCCUUUUGAAAACAAUACGGUUGUAAUCUCUUCCAAAUAUUUUUUACAUUACCUAACAAAUGACAUCUUCAUUUCCAAAGGAAAACAAAAGAGGUCACAGUAAAUUACAUGUUAAAGAUCCCCAGACACAGAAGGGACAUGCUGACAUCAUGCAGAUGAAUGAUGAGAGAGGUAUGUAAUUAACUACAGUAUAUUGGAAGUCAUACCCUGAGCCUUUUAUGGUCUGCUAGAGGGAGACCUCAGGAGACACGACCAACGGCAACACUAUCAGACUCUCCCGAGUUGUUUGAAGGAUUUACAUUCCGUGGUUACUAGGAUUUACACAAGCUUCAGUCUGGAUCCAGAACACCUGAAAAGAGAUGAUGCCAACCCCUCAGAGGACCUCAGAUGAUGCUAACCCUGAAACAACAUACAGACCACCAAAUUUUGCUAUAAGUUUGAUUGCAUCGUAUAAUAAUUGCUGUUAAUAGUGUUCAUCGUCUGAUUACAUCUUUAAAGGGUUAGUUCACCCAAAAAUUUAAAUUAUGUCAUUAAUGACUCACCCUCAUGUCGUUCCAAACCCGUAAGACCUCCGUUCAUCUUCGGAACACAGUUUAAGAUAUUUUAGAUUUAGUCCGAGAGCUUUCUGACCCUCCAUUGAAAAUCUAUGUACGGUAUACUGUUCAGGCCAGGACCAGCAGACUGAAGGACAGCUUCAUUCAUCAGGUUGUAAGGAAGCUAAACUCGCUCCCGAACUUGCCCCCACUUCCCUCUUCUGCCCCAGGCACCACUGAACUAUGUACCCCCCCCCCCCACCCCCCACCAGGUCCCACAUACCCAGGUCCUUCCAAUCCCCCCUCCCACUAACAUACGUUGACAUGCACCAGUCACUUUGUGCAGCAUUGGUCUGCUCACUACCUCAUUCAGCAUAGAACUGACGUCAUUCUACUACCUCUUCAGUCAGUUUAAAUAAAAGAACUGCUCUCUGAGCCCUUUGUCACUUUAAUCAGACUGAAUAAGCUUUUUUGCACUACAAUCUUUUUAUCUGCACUGUUUGUUCACUUCACUGGUUUGCACUCUAUCUGCCAUGUGCCUUGCGCUGCUUUAUUUAACUUUAUUUUUAUAAUUUUUGACAUGCCCUUAUUUGUAUA